rnacentral:rRNA from 1 species
UACGGUGAAUACGUUCCCGGACCUUGCGCACACCGCCCGUCAAGCCAUGGAAGCCGGGUGUACCUAAAGUCGGUAACCGUAAGGAGCCGCCUAGGGUAAAACUGGUGACUGGGGCU